UACGGGAGGCAGCAGUGGGGAAUAUUGCACAAUGGGCGAAAGCCUGAUGCAGCUAUGCCGCGUGUAUGAAGAAGGCCUUAGGGUUGUAAAGUACUUUCAUCGGGGAGGAAAAACAAAACUAAUAAUUUUAUUUCUUGACGUUACCCGAAAAAGAAGCACCGGCUAACUCCGUGCCAGCAGCCGCGGUAAUACGGAGGGUGCUAGCGUUAAUCAGAAUUACUGGGCGUAAAGAGCACGUAGGUGGUUUUUUUAAGUCAGAUGUGAAAUCCCUGGGCUUAACCUAGGAACUGCAUUUUGAAACUGAAAUACUAGAGUAUCGUAGAGGGAGGUAGAAUUCUAGGUGUAGCGGUGAAAUGCGUAGAUAUCUGGAGGAAUACCUGUGGCGAAAGCGGCCUCCUAAACGAAUACUGACACUGAGGUGCGAAAGCGUGGGGAGCAAACAGGGAUUAGAUCC
rnacentral:rRNA from 1 species